CCCUGUCAGUCAAUAAAACCUUUCUCAGAAUACCUGGGAGUCUGGAAUUAAUUAGAAUUGUCAUUUCCUGCUUUGAAUGCCCCUUUGUAAGGGUGCUACCUCAGCCCCUCCCUGUCCAAACCCAUGUACAAAGUGCCUCACCGCUGUCUACCAAGGUCACCCUGCUACACAGCUGUCCAACUGAGAGUGGGAGUCUGCAAUGAGUAGUAUUGCUUCUCUAAUUAUGAGUACAAGCUUAUGAUAUAUGCAUAUGCAUCUAAAUGUAGGACCAGGCUCUGAGCAAUCUGAUCGAGCUGCAGAUGUCCCUGUUCAUUGCAGGGGAGUUGGACUAGAUGACUUCUAAGGGUCCCUUCCAACUCAAACAAUUCUCUGAUUCUGUGUGUACAGUUCUACAGACUUUAUAUGCUGUUAUAACAAAAUUCAACUAAGUGACUUGCAUGUCACUGCAAAAACAUGAAGUCAACAGUAAGCAGCAUCAUUUCACCAAAGUAAAUGCAGCUUCAGUGGCUUAACUUCAGAGGGAUCAGAGGCCCUCUUCUUAUUUCCAUCACGACUGGAAGUUUGGGAGCACAGUUUAUGUGAAUGCAGCUGGAGAAAAAAAAUCCCUGGCGAAAAGAAAGGAAAAAAGUAAUGAUGCUAGAUUUAAACAAGACUGAAUUUUUUUUUUUCCUCCUAAGUACUUCUAAUAGGAACAAAUGGUUUAUCUUUUCAGAUCUGUAUACUUCUGUAGAAAUAUACCCCUGGGAAAAGGCUGCAAAGAUCCUGGCCACCAUGUUUACCUUCAACACCAAAAACUUGCUUCAGAAGGAGAAGACACAGAGUGUUAUGCUGGUUCCCAAAAUGAAGAGGAAGGUGCAUAGGAAUGGAGACUGAUUUAACCUCUGCUGCACAGAGGAGAGGAGGGAUCUGGUGGAUGUCUGACAAAUGUCACUGACAAGGUUAGUAAGAUCUUCCUCUUUGCAUUCCUUGCUAUUCCUUGUGGGAUUUUUGAGGUACUUAAGACUUCUAAACAGAGUAGUCCUUGGCAGCAAAAUUUCUGACCGCAGUGAGAAAACAAGCAAAGUCUGCCUUCAGGACAGUCACAUCGAGUGGGACUUGAAAAUUCCUCAUAGUAACCUGCUCGUAACUAAAGCAGUGCUCAAGUGACUCCAAGGGCCUCUUCUGGCUUAGACUCCUACACCCAUCUGCUUUGUGUCCUGGAAAACCCUCCGAAGGCAAGAAGAACGUGGGGCUGAGUGCACACCCCUGCUAUCUCAAACUUUUCAGAAGAUCAAGGGCACAGCGUGACUCCCCAGCCCUGGGGUUCCUCUGAUGUCGCACAGAGCUACAGGUGGCAGCUGUUAAUGCACUGAAUGUCGCUUCCCCCUGUAUCUGGCCAUGGAAAACAAAGUGAGCGAGAGGAUCGUUGCCAAACACUUUACAAGGAUGGAGCUUACACAAUUGGGCUCCACCCACAUGCCUCACAUGGGAAUUCUCUCCCUCACCAGCUGGGUUAAGAUCACAAGAUGGGAAAAAAAUAGGGGGAGGGAUGGGGGGGCGGGGGGGAGGGGAAGGGGAAAAAGAAAAAAAAACAAAAAAAAAGCACUGGAGUUGUUUUCUUUCCAUUGUGGCUCCUGAGCUGAAAGUUCCUUUACAAUAGAAUAAUAGAAUAAAGAUGAGAAGCAACACUGCUGAUGGCUCA
rnacentral:lncRNA from 1 species